UAUUUUCAAUUUUAUUAUUCAUCGAUCGCAAUAUAAUAUCCGAAUUUCGAUUUUUGAUUUUCGAUUUUUUCUAAUUUGUUUGGGAAAUUUAUAUUAGUAUUUGAAGCUGGAACCGUUGGUUUGAUUCAGAGAAUGAAUAUAUGAAUGAAUUCACAUCUUUUGAUUUGAAUUGAAUUAAAUGAAACCCUAGGGAGUAUUACUGUUGGCUCUAUGAAGUGUUCUCUUUUCUAUUACCCUUAAAUGGACAUUACUUUACCAUAUUCUGUUUUACUGCUGUUUAGUUUAGUUGCAUUUGGACAUUGUUGAAAGUAAAUUGGUAAAUUUAUGUGUAGUAAAAGACAAUUUGUAUGAGAAAAAAGCUACUUUGAAAAUUUGAGAUUUCUUUUAUAUUUAGGUUUAGAUGAAGAUUGGGAUUCUCUUAGACUUAAACAAGCUAAAAAAUGUUUCUUUUAUCCUACAUUACGGUUUGUAAAGAUUAUUGUGAAUUAGGUUUGAGCUUCAACAUAUGGAUUGCGGUGCUAAUUAAAUCGGUUAUCUCUUUGAUACUUUUGAAUUGGAUAUGGAAGUUAGAAACUAACUUGCUUGGUUUAAAUCAAGAGGGUUUUUAAUGAAGUUGGUUUGUAGAGAUUAUAGAAUGGAUAUUCUAAUUUCCAGUUAGGUUUUAGUUGCCAAGUGUUAAUUGGAGUACCUUGAACCUAUGUCUUUGCUUCCGGGUGUUCAUUGUUUUGUUCUAUUGAUAUCUAAUCUGUACCCAGAUAAAAACCAAAAAAGAAAAUUGAAUUAAACCAAAUUUAUCGAAAUCAAUUACUCAAAAGUUAAAUCAGUUUUAAAACUGGUUAAGAUUCCAAAAACUGGUUAUGCAAAUAGCCAAAAAAUAAACCACGAGAAGAGAAUAGAAAAAUUAAUCUACGAGAGGACCAAAGGAGUUGUCACAGCUACUAGCUACUGCCACGUCGGCAUCUUUGUCACGCCUCUUUCAUGUAUUUGUCACUGGUAUUAUGCCCCAUUUUCCUCCCCGUCUUCAUGCAUGGCGUAUCCAUCAUUGCUGCCGUGGGAACCAGAACAACAGAAUCUGUACUGGUUAGUUUGGAUCUGCAUCUGUUCUUCCUUCACCUGUUUUAGUCUCUAUCCAGCAAACCACCACAUGUCCAUAGAUCUGCUCAUGAAUGGAGUCUGAGGGUGGAGUAGCUGCAUCUAAUGAGUAAGCUUAGAACAGCUCGCAAGCUUGAUGACCCUGGCGAGGAUCCACAUGUGUGCAAUCGAUGAGGCUGCGAGCUCGACGACAGUGAGCAACCAGAGAUGGAGGUGGUUGCACUUUUUUCAAUCUAUUUAAUCUUUCACUUUUUGUAUUCAGAAGAAAAUAAUAUGGAAAACAAAGUGCUAGAUCUUUUUUUGGAAGACAGAAAGCUAGAUCAGAAAAUAUUGGUAAGAGGGAACACUUUCAUCACGGUUUUUGGAACAAAAAGUGAAAUGGGAUGGGCCAGAAGCUAAUCCAACUGAUCUGAGUAUUCAUUUUUGUAACUGGUCUUACAGCAACAUAAUCCAACCCAUUUGAAAUGGGAUGUUAAAGCAUUAAUUGAAAAAAUCUGGUUUUGGAUAUGGUUGCGGGUGUAAUCAUAUGAACCGUUAUUUUGUGCACUGUUUAGAACGGGCUGAGUUGAUUGAGAAUUUGUCUGUAGGUUAUUUAGUGCAUGUUUGGAUGAGAGAUUGUCAAAUAUGAUUUCAAAUAAACUUGAUUUUUUAAAUUUUAUUGGGUUGAAACUGAAUUUGAGUGAAGUGGUUUGUGUAUGGAUAUUUUAUUCUAAAACAAAAUUUGAUGUAAAACUUGGUGUUUUUCAACGUAAUGCAAAUUAGAAAAUCUACUUUUAUUUAUCAUUUUUAGUCAAAUAGGUUUGGAGGCAAGGAAUUAGAGUAUUCCCUUGGACCCAAUAUGGUGGAUACCAAGUGGAGGGACAACAUGAAAUGUGACAUCAAAACUAGGAGUAGGUGCCUUGGAUGGAUUUGCAGAUGGGAAUACAUGCGAGGAAUAUUAGUAGGAUGAUGCUGUUGGAAUCCAUGAUAAUAAACAAAAACAUUAUAUCCACCUUUCAGACAAAUCAUGCUCUAGACAGUGCUUCUUCAACCAUGACCUUGGCCACCAUUGCGUCCUCCACAGCUAAAUUUGCCUCUACCAUCAGUAAAUUGGUUAUAAGGUGUAGAAUGGAGCCAUAGUAGGCGAAGGUGCAGAGAUUGACGUAGACGCGACCUUAAUGAGCAUGUUGACUGUCCUGUGGUUCUUCGCAAAACACACAAGUAGCAUCUCUGUCUCAUGAGCGGUCAACAACUCAAACUUAUUGCUGAUUAGCUAGACAAAGGCAUCAUCAUUUAGGAAGACAUUUGAGGAUGACGUUAAGGCGCUCCUUAACAGAGAUGGAGUCACGAUGGCUGUUAGUGCAUCAAUCAAGGUCUGAACACGAAGAAGAAAUUCAUACAUUGACUGAUUUUCAAAAGUCGGGUGACACAAUUCGGUACAAAAUUGUCAUUCCUUUGCGUUUGUGUGAGAAUGGGAGUAAUUGUGGAUUUGGUCCCUCUCUUACCAUGAAUUGGUGCUUCAAAUCACAUGUUUGAGCACAGAGCUUGAAAUUGUCGACUGAAGCCACAAAAUUUUCAAGGGGAUUAAAAUUACAUAUUGCAUUGUAUGGUCCCACAUGUUUGCCAUAAUUUUCAAGGGGAUUAAAAUUACAUAUCAUAUUGUAUGGUAGGGCCUGCAACAUUUCAAUGUGAUGUCUUGUUGUCAUACAGUGGAGAUUAUGGUUUUAUAUUUAGUCAUGUCAUGAUGAAAAGAUAUGGAAAAGAGAAGCGUUGUUAAUCUGUAAUUUGAAUACGGGUCCAUGUUUUGUGCAUUGUCCUGCCAAAUUUUGAGUGUUGGCAACUUGUGAAUAAGUUGUUUCAACCAUUGUAUUUGUUUGCAAAACCCUUGUCAUCGUGCAUCGCAAUACUUUCCAGCAUUGUAAAAUCAUCAUUUAUGUCUUCUUUCAUGCUAUGUUGUUUUACUUGUACCGUUUUAUUUUUGUAACUCAACCGAUUUCUUACAAAAAGAGAAACUGUAAAUUAUGGUCUGGUGUUGUCCAAGGCUUUGUUUGAAUUAUUGAUUGGUUUCUUCUUUGUUCCUUACA